rnacentral:rRNA from 1 species
CCCUUAGAUGUUCUGGGCCGCACGCGUGCUACACUGAGCGGGUCAACGGGUGAGGAUUUGCGAAAGCACUCCCCAAUCUCUAAAUCCGCUCGUGCUGGGGAUAGAGGCUUGCAACUUUCCCUCUUGAACGAGGAAUACCUUGUAAGCGCGGGUCAUCAUCCCGCGCUGAAUACGUCCCUGCCCUUUGUACACACCGCCCGUCGCUCCUACCGAUUGAGUGGUCCGGUGAGGCCGUGGGAGGGCUGGACCAUCUGUGUUCCACAGUAAUCUGGCCCAAACCUGGUCAAACCUUAUCACUUAGAGGAAGGAGAAGUCGUAACA